rnacentral:lncRNA from 1 species
GCUUCAAUGGGUGGCCUAAUUGGUUCUUCUCAAACUGUGUUGGAUGGUCAGCUCAGUGGCUCAGCCCGUUUGAGCACUGUUAGCACCAGCAGAAUUGCCUUGGCUAGACCAGGACUCAGCAUUAGAGCCCAACAGGGGUCUGCUGACACUGAAACUAGCCGUAGAGCCGUCAUCGGUCUUGUUGCUGCUGGCCUUGCUGGUUCCUUUGCUCAAGCAGCCUUUGCUGCAGCUAAAUCAAUCAAGAUUGGUGGCGCUCCUCCUCCCUCUGGUGGAUUACGUAAGUCGUCUCGCUUUUGGUUAAGGUCUUUAUUUACCUUUUUCCUUUCUUUCCCAGUGGUGAAUCAAUUAGAGUCAUUGGGUUCUGUUUUUUUUAUUGAUGUUCCAAUUUUUUUCAAUUCAAACACGCAUAUAUGUAGUUAAGGGUUUUGUCGAACCUUUUGUGUCUAGUCUAGAUCCGCCACUGAUUACUGGAGCGACACAAUAAUAAUAUCAUAAUAGAUAUACUUACAGACAAUUAAUAGCAAGAUUCACAUAUCCAGGACAGGAUGUAAGAGUGACUCUCCAAUGUUGCAUUUCAAUUCAUUUAAUUUUGCUUAAUUUUUCCGUGAUUAGAACCUUCACUGGACCAAGGAAUAGAUUAAGGUUACUAGAUCGUGUCAUAAAGAGAAAUCCUUUGCCAGUGAGCUAUGCAAGGGUGUUCAAAGUCUAUUUUUAAUCAAUAACAAGUAAUAUUUUACCUUAUACGUAACAUAAUUUUUCAGCGAAGAGUGGUCAGUUGACCACCCUUGGGCCAACAUAGCUUCGCCCCUGUCCUUAUGUGAAUUAAAAGAGGGAAUUAAGCUUGAGGAAAAAGAACAGGAGGGGCUUCAUAGUAAGUAGUCAAAGAUUACAUUUGACAAGAGUAUUCCAAUCCUUUUGAAGGGUCUGUAACUUGUCCCUUCUAAUUUUUAUAAUAUUUCGUGAGAAGCGAUUGUAGAAAAGCUUUCAAACAUUAAAUUUGAAGCAAUAGAUUUCAUAAGUGAUACAAAAGGACACACACUUCCCAAAUUUGGAAAAUGUGGAAACUAAUCAAUAAGUGAUAUUUGAAAUCUUGUACUACUCCUAGUUUCUUUUGGAUUCAAAUUUGAAUUAGUACUUUUGCCUUGAAAAUCAAUCUUUGUGCUUUGCAUUUUAUGAAGGCCAAAUGCAAUAAACCAGAUGGAUCUUUAGAAGUAGUUAUGCAGUUGAAAUAUGAUUGGUUUCUCAUUUUGGUAAAAUAAGAUAUACAACAAAUUCCAACAAUUCAGAACUAUAAAGAAUGGUUACUAGAAAUAGAAAAGACAAUUUAAGUGUCAUAUGGCAUUUGGAAUUUCUGUACUCAUGCUGAGGAUUUGGAUUUUGGCAGCUGGAACUUUGAAUUCAGAUGAGGCAAGGGACCUUGAUUUGCCAUUGAAGGAGAGGUUUUACCUUCAACCAUUGACUCCAGCUGAGGCAGCCCAGAGAGUUAAGGAUUCAGCCAAGGAGAUUGUUAGCGUCAAGAAUUUCAUCGACAAGAAGGCCUGGCCAUAUGUCCAGAAUGACCUUCGUCUCAGAGCAGAAUACCUUCGCUAUGACCUUAAGACCGUCAUCUCUGCUAAGCCAAAAGAAGAGAAGGGAAAACUCCAGGACCUGACUGGAAAGCUCUUGAAGACAAUUAGUGAUGUAAGUCAAAUCUCUACAUUCUUGGUUACAUGAAUGUCUAUGUCAUAGUAUUUCAAAAGUAGUGAAAUUAUGUGCAUAGAAAUCCAAAGGGCUGCUUAUGUUUUCGCAUACUUUUAACAAUCUGUUCUUUUCCUUCCUCAGCUGGACCAUGCAGCAAAGACCAAGAACAGCCCUGAAGCGGAGAAGUACUAUGCUGAUACUGUAUCUACCUUAAAUGAUGUUUUGGCCAACCUUGGUUAAAAAAGC